CCGGGCCCGGGGGGCUCUGUGGGGGCCGGGCCCGGGGGCGCUGCGGGGGCCGGGCCCGCGGGGGCCAUCAGCGGUGGUGCCUCUGCUGCGGGCCCGGAGCCCGUCAGGGCAUGGGCGCCGGUGUCCGGGGAGAGCUGCGGGGCAUUGCCACCCGCGGUUCCCAUUGCCCCCUCACCCUGCCGGGAGCUGUCAGGCUCCACGGGCAGAGAGGCGGCAGAUGCAGUAGUAGUUAAGGAGAAGGAGAAGGAAAAACAACAUCUGUUAUUUACCUUCCGCAAGUGGCUGUGUUUUGUCUAGACCUAUGAGCUCUCUCUAGAGCACUUAGAGAUGAUUUCUGCUAGGCUGCUUUAAACAGGUUUGGCUUCCACUGUGAGAAUACUGAUGUCUUUUCUGGCAAGACAAAGAAAGAAAGGUGUUGGAAUACUGCAGAGAGGAGAAUGAAAAGUAUUUUCGAUGAUGAGAACUGAAAUGGUAAUAUGGCCAUAGAAAUAAUCUCCAAACAACUCAAAAAGGAAACGUGAAAUCAACUGGGAAGAGCUGUGGCUGAGUCUGUGGAGCUGAUCAUUGGCCCCCAUAAAUGUCUGCUGUAUGCCAGAGGAAGUACCUUGAUUACUGCUUUUUGCUUGGUGAGCUUUUGCUCUGAGGUGAACCGAGCUGAAGCCAGAUUUCACUUCUGUUUAUUCUUCUGCUAUCAAAUAUGAAACCGUUUUCUGUGAUGAAUUUAUGCUAGACAUAAGUGCAUCAUAAUGACAUAAAAUUAUAUCUAUUACAUAUAGUGCGUAUCCAGACUGGUGAUUGUAGAACAAAUAGUAUCAUGAGCUCAAAUGCACAGGGUAGAAGCUUUGCAUUACCAUCCUGUAGCACUAUCAGGUGACAAGAUGCUGUAUAAGAGAGGGUGUGUGAAAGAACUAUGAACAAUGCUUUUGUGUUUGUCACUGUAAGUUUCAGUUCCCUCUGACACAUAAAAGCCAUUUACUUAGGUUUUUAGCCACUCUAUUGUGGCUUUUUCUGCCUUUAGGGAACUCCCUGAAAUCUCUUGUAGCUUAGACUAAUAAAUUAGGUUUUUAUAUUUUGCAACCAGUUUUGUUCCUUACUAGAUAAACUUAUUCCUAGAUACAAAGCCACGCUCUCCCCAUCUGAAAGUUGCUCUGAAUUUGUUCCCUUAAUAUUCGUAGUCAGGAAAUAAAUUUUAUCAAUUGAAUGUAAAGGCUGGUUGUCCUUGUCCAGUAACAGUGGACUCUUUCUGCCCUGUACCUAUAUUGCUCUUCGUUUUCUUUUUUGUCCAAUCUCCAAGUAUUUUGGUUUCCUACAACUCCCUGAGUCUUACCUUCAUUCUCUUUUCUUUGUUGAGGUGAAUAGCAAAUAGGUACAUUCUUCUUUUCUAUAGCAUUCAUUUUUUUUUCAGUAUUCUUGGAUUUAGUUUUAGUUUUUAUUUUUUGAUUUGAUCCUGAAAAUCUAACCAAUUUGCAAAGAAAGUGGGAUCAAUGCUUGCUUUCUGAAUUGUCUUCCUUGCUUCCUCUCUUUCAUCUUAGUCCAUUCUCUCACUUUACCACUGGAAGCUGCAUAAGUUUCGUUUGGCAUACAGUCAUUGAGAUAGUGAAAUCUGAUUUCACUCUGCUUCCUUAUUAAAUAAGUAGUACUGUCCUUCCCCAGUGUGGAUCAUUUUUCAGUCUGGAUGUAUUCACGCUAACUUCCUGCCUUCGCUAUUAUGACCUCUUUAUUAGUUUUCCCCUAUCUCUCUCUCUUCUUUUAUCCACAGGCUACAUAUCUAUCCAUGGCUAAAUAUCUUUUUUUCCUCCCAUACAAGACAAGUCUUUAUACUGUAAAAAUCUCAUGCUGGACUCCUCAUAGCCUUGCAUAAAAUUUUAGUUACCAAUCUAGUGCAGCAAAGCUUUGAUUUCUUUAGUACCAGAGUAUUUUCCUGCCCCUGUCUGUUUCUGUUCUCCUGCAAAAAAUAAAGUUUAAACCAUUUCUAUAUUGAGGAAAACUAAUUCUUUCAUGCUAAGCAUUUUAUCUGUCACAUACCCGAUCAGGCUUCAGUGUCUGCUUCUUGUACUUGAAGUAAAACCUAGUGACAAAGCCAAAUGCAUCUAUCCUUGUGAUAAGCAGUUCUUUAAAUAGAGAGUGAUCCUGUGCACAGUACCAAAAUUCAGACAUUUUGGAAAGAGAGUACACAAAAUGGGAUUUCUUUUCCUACAUGACUUUCAUCUUUUAAUUUCCUUCUUGUUUUUCUUUACUGCCUGGGUAUUUCAGGCUAUGAGGUAAAGGCUACUUCAUUUUCCUUGCUUGCAAACUGGCUUGAUAUAGUGUAGUUCAGUAAAGAUGCAAUUUUCACUCACUGAUUCUCAAAUAUUGAAAGCUGAGGCAAGUAUUAUGAUCCAGGGUUUUUUGUGAGACUUUUCUUGACUGUCUAAACUAUUCUGACUGACUACUUUGAACUACUAAAUCUGUAUCUAGUUUAUACACACUGUUUUUCAAAAAUAAAUACCUUGUUAUAAUUUUAGAUAAUACAUCCAAGGGUUUGACACUUUUCUAAAAACAAAUACAGUUUGUUUUCUCAGGUAACUGUUUUGAACUAUACAUCUAUAUUUUGGAAUUUAAGGAAGUUUCCUUUAAUAUUGGAGGAAUUGUGUAGAAGUUGAAUGUUUGCUAAUAAUCUUGUAGGCUGAAGUAAAACAAUCUUUGUGGUAAGGAGUGCAUUCUGGGAAGGACUUGAGUUUAUACUGUAGUUUAUAAAAACCCCAGCAAACCCACAUCCCUAUUUUGUGGUUCUGUUACUUUUGUUUGUUUGUCUUUUUUGUUGUUGUUAAAUGGGACUAUCUAGCUAUCAUAGACACAUGCUUAUUUCCAUUUUGUAAUUGUUAGUCCUUUGAGUUUCUGGAGAAUAUGAUUUAAAAAAUAAAGCUCUCUUUUUAGCCUGAAUGCUAUGUAGAAUUUAAGAGAAUGAAAACUCCAUUCAUUUCCUAUGAGAGAAUGACUAUAUUUAUUGUGUGUAUUUGGAUAUAAAUGGAUGUAGAUUGGUUCAGUUUGUGAUGCACAAUCAGCAAAUU